rnacentral:rRNA from 1 species
UAAUACAUGCAAGUCGAACGAACUUCCGUUAAUUGAUUAUGACGUACUUGUACUGAUUGAGAUUUUAACACGAAGUGAGUGGCGAACGGGUGAGUAACACGUGGGUAACCUGCCCAGAAGUAGGGGAUAACACCUGGAAACAGAUGCUAAUACCGUAUAACAGAGAAAACCGCAUGGUUUUCUUUUAAAAGAUGGCUCUGCUAUCACUUCUGGAUGGACCCGCGGCGUAUUAGCUAGUUGGUGAGGUAAAGGCUCACCAAGGCAGUGAUACGUAGCCGACCUGAGAGGGUAAUCGGCCACAUUGGGACUGAGACACGGCCCAGACUCCUACGGGAGGCAGCAGUAGGGAAUCUUCCACAAUGGACGCAAGUCUGAUGGAGCAACGCCGCGUGAGUGAAGAAGGGUUUCGGCUCGUAAAGCUCUGUUGUUAAAGAAGAACGUGGGUAAGAGUAACUGUUUACCCAGUGACGGUAUUUAACCAGAAAGCCACGGCUAACUACGUGCCAGCAGCCGCGGUAAUACGUAGGUGGCAAGCGUUAUCCGGAUUUAUUGGGCGUAAAGCGAGCGCAGGCGGUCUUUUAAGUCUAAUGUGAAAGCCUUCGGCUCAACCGAAGAAGUGCAUUGGAAACUGGGAGACUUGAGUGCAGAAGAGGACAGUGGAACUCCAUGUGUAGCGGUGAAAUGCGUAGAUAUAUGGAAGAACACCAGUGGCGAAGGCGGCUGUCUGGUCUGCAACUGACGCUGAG